CAUUGAAAUACUUAGUUUUAUUCUUUCAUUUUGAACAAAAACAAACUUCCUCACUCUGAAUACAAUUUACAGAAAUUUUAGAAUAACUAAUGCUCAAAGAUUUCUGUUAUCGAAAAAUGGGGCAUGAAUGUCAUAGGUUCAUGUAAAUCUUUGAACCUAUUAUUCCAGAAUCCAUUCAUCUGGAAAAGUUGUAGCUCUCCUCAGAUUAUUUUCAAAAAUUAACUCUAAAAAACCCGCAAAUAAAAUGAACACAUCUUUUAGCUAACAUAACUUCCAAAACAAUAGAACAAUGCCAACAUUUGGAUUUUGGAGGAAUUGCGUGAUGUGUGUGUGUGUGUGUGGCCACUCCUGUGGCAUAUGGAAGCUCCUGGGCUAGGGAUCAAACUUGUGCCAUAGCAGUAACCCAAGUUGCUGCAGUGACCAUGCUGGAAUCUUAACCAUAGAAUAAUUGGGUUUUUUUAUUGUGUGUUGGUUUUUUUGGAACUGUGUGAUUUUUAAAGGGGGUGACUUGUCUAUACACAUUUAUUUUGUUUAGGAUGGUAUCUAAAUACUUUUUAACCAAUUGACCUCACAUCAAUGGCCAGCAGGAAGGCAUUCUGUGGAGCAAGGAAGAGAGCCAACCUGGAAUUCGAAAGUCGCCCAGGCUCAUAUACCAGUAGAAUAAUGAAUGUAUUACAGCACAAAGUUAACUGUAAAGAGCAUUGCUGUAUGCAUUUUCCCCUUCCAUAUGCUAUAAGGCAUAAGGCAAAUUAUUGGUAGGCUGGGGGGGGAGGAAGAGAGCGAGAAAGAGGUGUGAUUUGGGUGGCUCUUUGUUUUCUUUCUCAAUUCUCCAAAGUGGCCAGUGUUGGUCUCUCAACCAAGCCUGAACUAUCAGCCGCCUUCAGCCAUUAUGCUGUCUCUGGAUUUAUGGCAGACACGUAAAAGUACUGAUUUACAGUAAGCAACUGAAAACUGGCUCUACAGGAAAGACAGUUCUGGGAAGACUGUAUCUUUUGCUUGUCUCUGCCCUUUCAUAGACCUCAAACAGGUUUAAAUUACUGGUGUAGACUCUAUCUGCUUUCAGUAAAGGGGGUCUCUCCCCACUGCCCUGCGUAAAUCUGCUACAGAUCUUUCCUCAAGUGCUUAUGAUAACAUUAUUUCUGUCUUCAGGCCUGAGAAUCAGGAUGAAUUAUCCUCUAUUUACAGCUUAUCAUAGUUCAGAAAUUUAACAGAUCCAAGUAUUACAGAAUUUAUAACCCAGGAAAUGAUUUGGCAUGUAAUGUGCUAUGUGGGAUUAUAUAAUUUUUUUUUUUAAACUAUGCUUUAGGAAAUAUGCUCCCUGUUCAUUUCAUCAUGGUGGUGUGUGUCUCAGUUUGUUCAUUUACUUUUUACUAUUGUUUCAGCUGUGUUUCUCUGUCUCCUCCUCCUUUCAGGCCAUUUUAAUGUGUCAUUUCUAAAAGCCAAAAGAGAAUGACAGAGAAAGAGAGAGGGAAAAUUUAAAUAAAUUAAUAGAAUUUAAGCUAUGACACUGAAAGUGAAUGAAUGAGCUGAAUAGAAGCUUCUACACAUUUGUUAUAUUUAAAACAGUACACCUUGCAAUAUCUGGUCUUUGCCUAUUAAUGCUUGCCUCCCUAAUUUUUUAAGAAAAAUUCCAAUUAUACCUGAAGUUUCUAAAAAGUCAAAACUCAAAAAUUAAUUUCAUAGAUAACUUUUUCAAGAUGACCUAUUGCACAAAGUGUAAUAAAAACGCCGACACGAUUUUUUUGUCGGGGAUUUGGCCUGUGGUUCACAUUUAAAAGUCAGACAUUUAUUUUAUGGAGUUGCUCAUCAAAUUAAGUUUUAUAGCGUUAAACUGUUAUUGGCCAAAAAACAUGUGUUACUAAAACGCAAAUCUUGUUCUCUAGCAAGAAAUCCAACCAUGAAUGGUUGGAUUGACUUGUAUCAUUUUAAAUUUCAGGAUUCCCAGAAAAGUAUGGAUUAAGUGGAACUGUACAGGACUGGCAUUCCUCCAGAGGGAAACAAUGGUAUAUUUUUCUAAUAGUUUAGAGUCUGUACUUUUUGCACCUUUUCCCCACUGUGGGAGAGGAAAAAAAGAAAGAUUAUUGGUUCUCAAACUCUGCCAAGUAGCCCUGUAUCUUGCUAAGUCUGUUGGGCAGAGGUAAACAGACCCUACUUUGAAGAUCCUACCCCUUAUAAGGAGUCUGACUUACCUUCCAUGAUUCCAAAUGGAUGCUCAAUAAAAAUAAGCCUUCUGUAUUAUACCUCUGAAAUCCGUCUUAUUUAUUUACAAUUUGCAUGCUGACAACUUUCCAAAGAUAACUUAAAAGUAUCAUUUGUACAGUAAGGUUAUGACACUUAAAAAAAAAGGCAGAGUAAAAAAUUUUUUCAUGUUAAAAAAACAAAAAGGGCAGAGGAAAUGGAACUGCAACCAGGGAUCAGGGGCAAGAUGGUUAUAAAAAUUUAAUAUUAAAUUUAGCUCUGACAUUCAUAUCCUAUUACAUUGUUAUGUAGUUUCUCCUUUGCUUCAGAUUUUUAUAUAUUUAUGUCAUUUCUUUCCCAACUAAAUUUAAACCCCAAGCAGAGAGGCUAUCUCAUACUUUUUUGUUGUCUUCCAUUAGCCUUUUUAAACACAAUAACUACUCCAGAAACAUUUUGAUUGAUUCUGACAAUGUGGGAAUAGUCCAUGCAUUGUCAUAAAUUUUAAAAAUCCUUUACAUAAUUGAGGGACUACAAACUUGCUUCCUUAAAUAUCUAUUUAAUUUAUAUUUCCCGGCUACUCUACUCACCUCUCAAAAUGGAUCCCAGUGAUGACUGUUGUAUCUAAAAAACAAGGCUCUUAACUUUUGAUGCAUCAGUGUCUCUCCUAGGACAUCUCUGGGGCUGUUAUUCUACCUGUGGGUGCUUUUUGUAAAAACUUUUGUUUGAGCUGUGACUGUCCUACGUGCCAUAGAACUGAGUUUCUAAACGUUUUGUGUAGAACCUGAAUGUUCCAAAUUUCUCAUGAACUUAUUAUGUAAUAUGCUGUCACUAUCACUGACUCUUUUUGUCCAGAAAUCUGUUACUUUCCUUAUUUUAAACUUUUAGUAGGUGAGAAACAACUUUGAGAAUGCAAGUGUUUAUUUUCCCAAGCUUUUCCUGCACUUGUUGGCAAAGCGCCUGCUUCUUUUCACCUGUUUUUAUAAUAUACACUCUUACAUUAUUAUAUACACAUUAUAUACAUAAUUAUAGACAUACAAUCAUAUAUGCUAUAUAUAUAGUAUAUACACUAUCUUCCUUCAUCGAGAACGUUUGUAAAAUUCCCCUAAGUCGAAACAGGUCAGUAGUGAGGUUCUCUGCUCUUUCUACUGACAGACUAAAGAUCUAGAAUUCACCAGCCACCCAGAUCCAACAACAGAUUUCACGGAACACAAAACUCUAGUUGCCUCAGGAUGGCCUUGACCUCGGUUAUCAAUCAUAAGGGCACACAAAAACAUUGAGGAAAGAGCAGAGAACCUCACUACUGUUUCUAACAGGAUAUUCCAACAGUAUUUCAGCUCCAGGAAUUUUGCGUGCUCCUGUUUUGACUUCAUUAGUAAUUCAAUAUGUCUGAUUUGCCCACACGACACUUUUUCAACUUACUUUAUCCAUCUGACCUGGAACAAAGUGAAAGCACAUUUUGCCCAGUUGAAGAGUCUUCUGGCAAGUUGGGUCGCAACAGGCUUGCCAGUCCCAGUUCAGUUAACAAAGAAUAAACACAUUUCACUUGACAUUUACUAGUGCACUAACUUCCUCACUCUGCAGUUUUCUAUUUUAUAUUCUCAAACCAUUUUUUUCACUUCUUAUUCAACUUUUUACUUGUGAUUCUUGCCUCCUCAACAAGAUUUCCAGUUUCUUGAGGUUGAGGUUGCUACAUGUCUUCGUGGCCCUGAUCAACACAGUUUAACUGCAAAGAACAGGAAUGGAAUAAAAGUUUACUUGAAGGGAGGGAGAAGCGAUACAACAGUCUGACAUCUACCCUUGGUAGUUUAAUUUUGUGGCUUGAGACAUACCAAUUACGGAAUCAGGCUAUGGCUUCUACAAGCAUCAAUUUUACUGCAGUUCUCUAGAAUUUGGUCACUUGGGAAUGGCUACUUGUAACAGUGCAAGGAAGUACACGUGACAAGAGGGUUCUCCGAGAACGACGGGCGCUCCGCCGCCGUGCCUGUGUCAAGAUGCCUCGAGAAGGACGCCCAGAAACGGCCCGUCCGAGCCGGUGGUGUCCGCAGAGCCCGACGCGCACCUGCACACCGGGCAGCGCGGGUGGGCGCGAGGACGUCCCUUAGUCCUAAGCUCUGCGCUCCGGGGGACGAAGGCCUGGGCCCUCACAGCAGGAGCAGAGGGGGCCACCUAAUGCCGGACUCAGGUCAAGUCUGUCCCGGGCGCCCUGCCUCCACGGAUACCUGCUUAACUUCGAGCAGCCCAGCCCCACUACGUUUAAAAGUGUAUUUACGGUUGUCAAGGAGCACACCGAAAAGCUUGCUCCGCACCCCCAGAGCGCGCGAGGCCUCCCAGCCUGGAAACAGGCCCCUCCCAACGCAGCUGUCGCCGCCGCCCGCGGGCUCCUUUCACUUUCUCACGGCCAAGUCCCCCAGAGGGGCGCCGCUGCCGCCACCGCCGCUGCGCCCGCC
rnacentral:lncRNA from 1 species